rnacentral:lncRNA from 10 species
UUAGGUUGCACGUCUGUAGUUCUUCAAACUCACAUGGGAGGCAAUUGACCAUAUACUCAUCACUGCAAUGAGCAUAUCAGGAGGUACCACAUUGAACCAAGAAUUCUGGUAAAUGACAUUUUCUCCCUCUCCUUACACAUCCAGUGAUAUUGAACAUCUUAUAGUUUGGAUCCCUGGACACCUUCAUGGCAGACUCACUCCUUACUCCAGCUCUGGAUCUCAACAGUUCCCUCAUCCCUCUCAGCCUUCUCCCUCACUCCUCAGAAGCUAACAUUUGCCAAAGUCAAUCUUGAAAUGUUAUGUUUAAAAUUCAGCUCACUUCUCUAGAUAUAGCCUGAUGAGGACACUACGGGUACCCUAGGCAGUUAAUAAAUAAUAGUCAUUAGUUAAUAAUUUUAGGUUCCUUCAAAUGGAUAUGCUCUCAAUAUUUGUCUAACUGUGACUUGGGGUCAAGCAAGGAAGACUGGCUCGCAGCAGCUCUGGUCCUCUUCUCUACUGCUCUAAUCAGUUCAGCUCUGGCCCAGUCCUGCACACCCUACUAGCAAACGUUAGUCCUACUAUAGAUAACUGCACCCACCUCCUUGUAAGCCAUUUAAUGACUCUCAAUUAUAACUCAAACUGUCCUCAGAGAGCUCAGCCUUCACUGCAAUGAGCGUAUCACAAAGUAUCACAUUCAACCAAGAAUUCAAGAAAAUGACAUUCUUUUUCCUCUCUUUACACAUCCAAUGACAUGGAGCAUCUUAUAGUUUGGAUUUCUGGACACUUGCAUGGUAGAGACACCCCUAAAUCCCGCUCUGGCUCUGACCGAUUAUUUCCUGUGUUCUGAGUUGCUACAUCAAUUGCAUCUGUUUAAAAAAAUCCUAUCACAGUGCAGCUCUUAGAAGAGUGUGCUUAACUUAAAAACAGAUUUUUUUCCCCCCGACAGGAACUCCCAAGCCAGUCUUCCUCAUUCUGUAUUUACGUGAUUGACUUUUGUGAGUCUAAAUAUAGAAUUUUUCAUUUAGCCUAGUUGCCUUUGACUCUGUAAGAGUCAACGGACCAUUUUAAUUUGUUAAAAACAUUUUUAAUUUUUAUUCAAAUAUGUAAGUAUAGGAUAGUCUAGGCACUAUUGCAUUAUAUGAUUGACAAAGACCUGGAGG